UUGAUAGGUGGAGAAAACAGAAGUGAAUGCUGGGAGGAAGAAGGGCAGAGUGGCAGAUGUCAUGGAUUCUCCGCCUGAGAUGGACGCCCGUUAGAAUCUCCAGAUGCCAACAGGCCCAAUCCUGAGACUCUCUUGCAAGGAGUCACAGCUGCUCUGAUGAUGACGACAAUGGUGUUCUGCCGUAGAGGACAGCAUUCUACAACUCCCGUCUCUCCAAGGGCAAGAUGAACAAAAUUCCUCAUCUCCACUGUGGACUGGCUCCAGAUUCCCUGGCCGAGCUGACUCAUCUUCUAGUGCUGUCUGGCUGUUAAGGCAACCAGAGUCACUGCAUCUGUGUUCAUACAAGUAAAAGCACUGUGAGCUCCAGAGUCAGAGACCCCAACGCUGACUGCAUGCUGUCACAUGAUGCAGACCACGUGGACCCCAGAAAGACUGAGCAUCUCGGCCAAAGAUUGGGUGAGAUGAGCCAAGUGUGACACCGCCUGCUAUUGUAGGAGUUAGUGGGGGGAUCAGCUGUCUCCCCAGAGGCUCUGAAUGUACUUAACACUGUUGAUAAGUCACCAAGGAGAGCGAGCAAAACAAAACACAACGUAGUUAAGACAAACUCUGCGUAACUCUGCUCGGAUUUGACUUCUCAGAGAUGGGGAUCAAAUGCAUACUACGUUAAUUCAUCUGUCCUUCCUUCUUCCCUUCCUUCCUUCCUUUUCUUCAUUCUGUAGCCCAGCCUAGCCUGGUGCUCACUGUAUAGCCCAAACUGGUCUAGAACGUGCAAUCCUCCUGCCUCUCUCUCCUAAAUGCUGGUAUUACAGGGCAAACUACCAUUCCUAACUCAUGUUUUUCCUUUUCUUCUCUUCUUCCCCUCCCCUUUCUCUCCCCGCUCCCCUCCUUGUCCCCCUCAUUCCCUUUACCCCUCCCUUUUAUUUACAGUGCAAUGAACAUGUGCUUGUUUUCCGGUUGUUAAAUAUUAACUCAUAUUCAAGAUACAUCGCUUUAAAAAUAUUCUAUACACAAGGCUGGGGAUGUAGCUCAAGUUGGUAAAGUACUUGACUAGCAUACAGGAAACCUGGGUUUGAUCCUCAGGACACCUCAAGUGGUGACAAACGCCUGUCACUCAGCAUUUGGGAGAUGGCGGCAGGAGAGCCUAAGGUCAAGGUGACAUUCAACUACCUAGCAAGUUCGAGGCCACUCUAAGUGAUACGAAAGCCUGUCUCAAAGCAGAUAAAUAAGCGCCAGUGAGAUCACUGGGUAUAGCAGCUCCUGUCCUCAGGCUUCAGGCCUGAGUGUGAGCCCCAGGCCCACACAGUGGAAGGAACGGACUGGUUCCACAAAUUGCUCUCAAGAUCCCCACAUCCCACUGUGGCAUGCACACCUAUACAUUAUUCAAUAAAAUGUAAUCAGCGUUGAAAUGGAGUAAAGAGAGUGGAUCAGAAGUGAAGAGCUCCGGCGGCCCCUCCCAGCAGGCCCGAGUUUGAUUCCCAGUCACACCAUCCGGAACUGGUCCGACAGGGAGGAGUGUGGCGGACACAGCAAAUGGCCACACCUUCCCUGAAGACCCUCACGCAGUCCCGCCCCGGGCAUUUCUGCACCAACACACACUUUACAAUGUUCUGGUCGCUUCUGCAAGACCCUGAGAGCCGAGGCUGGGGCUACCUAGGCCUCUAUGCCAAAAGGAUGGAGCCGUUCCCUUAUUUGGCAUUUGGCCCAGUUCCAGUAUUUUGCUCUUAUAAAUAGUACAUGAAGUUCUUUGUGAAAAUUACAUUUUUCCCAUUUUUUGGGUUAUUACUGCCUUGGGGUAUAGUCUCAAAAAUUAGUUGCGCAGCUCUUAAUGCCCACUUGUCAGAACAUUCCCCAGGCAAACGGUGGUAUAUUUGAGCAUUUUGAGUUUUUAUUUUCCAAUAGUGUAUUCAUUUUUGUAUGUAUGUGUGGUUUUUUGAGACAGGGCUUCUCUGUGUAGCCCUGGCUGUCCUGGAACUCACUCUGUAGACCAGGCUGGCCUCAAACUCACAGACAUCCACCUGCCUCUGCCUCCUGAACGCUGGGAUUAAAGACCUGUGCCACCACUGCCCAGCUACCAUAUCCAUUUUUGAAAACCAUAUGACUUCAGUUUUCCUUAAGGCUGCUUACAUGGCAGGACUUUUGCCAGCUUUUUCUAAAUUUCCACGAAAAUACAUUCAGGCGUUUUGAAUGUUUGACCAGAUUUUUCCCCCAAUAACACAAAGUAAGACAACUUCCUCUUUUUUCCCCCUUUUCCUCUUCGUCCUUCAGCGGGGAAAAGAAGUUGGGAAAUGUCAAAACAUCGUCAACAUAGUAAAACCAGAGCAAUCUUUUAGUGGCUGUGCAGGGACAUUCUCCAGCCAGCUCAGCUGGAGGUGACGGCUCCUCGCGCCCCAACACACACACACACACACACACACACACACACCACACCACCCCACACCAAAUACACACAUGAGGAAGUAAGCAAAUAAAUGUAAACAAAUCAGAAAAUCCCAUAACUAUCUAACUAGACAAUCGGGUCCUUCCACAUGCUAAGCAAGGACUCUGCCACAGCCCACAGCUCUAGCCUUAUUUAUUUACUUAUUUUGUUUUUGUUUUGGGAGGAGUGUUAUUGUUGUUUAUUUUGAUUGUGUGUUCUGGACUGUUUUUCUUUUUUUUUAAAUAUCAAUAAAGAAUUUUUUAGAAGUAUUUUUUUUACCUAUUUCAUGUGUGUCACAUGUUUGCACUCAGGUGUGUAUGCCAUGGUGAACAUGAGGUCAGAGGCCACUUUGCUGAAGCUGGUUCUCUCCUUCUCCGUGGGUUCCAGGGCUGGGAUUUGGGUCGUCAGGCUUGGCAGCAAGUGUCUUUACCCCCUGAGCCAUCUCACUAGCCCAGUUCUUACCACCAUGGAAGCUUUACCUAAAAGAAGCACAGGACACAAAUGUCACACACAGAAUUUCAUAAGUUCCUGACUCAGAAGUCUGUCCCUGAACUUCAUUUUCAAAAGUGGCAAUGAUUUCCAAAAACCGAUUCAUUUUCUCGUGGACAUUCUACAGAUGCUGCCUGUUCACAGUCUUAUUUCAUAAAGUAAUUAAUUCUUCCAGUUAAAGGCUACCUGGGGUCAGCCAGGCAGCGGUGGCGUGCAUCUUUAAUCCCAGUACCCAGGAACCCUGUCAGUUCGAGGACAGCCUGCUCCACAGAGUUCCACGACAGGCAAGCUAUACAAAGAAACCCUGUCUCGAAAAAAAAAAAAAA